GAUGAACGCUGGCGGCGUGCCUAAUACAUGCAAGUCGAGCGAACGGACGAGAAGCUUGCUUCUCUGAUGUUAGCGGCGGACGGGUGAGUAACACGUGGAUAACCUACCUAUAAGACUGGGAUAACUUCGGGAAACCGGAGCUAAUACCGGAUAAUAUUUUGAACCGCAUGGUUCAAAAGUGAAAGACGGUCUUGCUGUCACUUAUAGAUGGAUCCGCGCUGCAUUAGCUAGUUGGGAAGGUAACGGCUUACCAAGGCAACGAUGCAUAGCCGACCUGAGGGGGUGAUCGGCCACACUGGAACUGAGACACGGUCCAGACUCCUACGGGAGGCAGCAGUAGGGAAUCUUCCGCAAUGGGCGAAAGCCUGACGGAGCAACGCCGCGUGAGUGAUGAAGGUCUUCGGAUCGUAAAACUCUGUUAUUAGGGAAGAACAUAUGUGUAAGUAACUGUGCACAUCUUGACGGUACCUAAUCAGAAAGCCACGGCUAACUACGU
rnacentral:rRNA from 1 species